AUCCAGCUGACGAGUCCCAAGUAAGAUGAAACGCGCUUCAAACUGGAU
rfam:Schistosoma rodhaini strain Burundi genome assembly, scaffold: SROB_scaffold0000471